rnacentral:rRNA from 1 species
GACGAACCGUCCUAACGUUGUUCGGAAUCACUGGGCUUAAAGGGCGCGUAGGCGGGCUCUCAAGUCCGGGGUGAAAUCUUUCGGCUCAACCGGAAAAUAGCCUUGGAUACUGGGAGUCUCGAGGGAGGUAGGGGCGGGUGGAACUUCCGGUGGAGCGGUGAAAUGCGUUGAUAUCGGAAGGAACGCCGGUGGCGAAAGCGACGUGCUGGAUCUCUUCUGACGCUGAGGCGCGAAAGCCAGGGGAGCAAACGGG